rnacentral:rRNA from 1 species
GCCAUGGCGCGGUGAAUACGUUCCCGGGCCUUGUACACACCGCCCGUCAAGCCAUGAAAGCCGGGGGUGCCUGAAAGCCGUGACCGCGAGGGUCGGCCUAGGGUAAAACCGGUGAUUGGGGCUAAGUCGUAACAAGGUAGCCGUACCGGAAGGUGCGGCUGGAACACCUCCUUUCUGGAG